rnacentral:lncRNA from 1 species
UCACGUCUAGGUUCUAUAUUAGUUCUGAAUUUAUUUUACAAUGGAUCCUUAUUAUAGAUAAUAUGGUUAUGCAUCUCUUUUAAUUCUUGAUUUAUCAAAUUUAAUAAGGUGAAAUACAAUGGAAAGGGAUGUAGAAAUAUAUCUAUCUUAUUGUUACUUAAAUUUGAGAAUUUAAAGAGAUGCAUAAAUAGAUUUACUUUGAUGGAGAUCCAUCUUAAAUGAAUUGAGAACUAAUAUAGGAUCUAAAAUUAAUUUUUUCACUCACCAUCAUGGAGCGGUAAAAAAAAUAUGAAAAGAGGCAUGCCAGCAAUGAUCUAUCAUAGUUGUUCUUGUUUAAAAAAGUCAUCUUGCAGGUCCGGUUAUCGUUAUAGACCCAUAAAAUAAUUUAUGAUAAGACCUGACCUAUCCCACAUUAUUGCCCAAGUUAUCCUACUUACCACAAAUGGACCCUAGACCAACUUGGCCAAGUGGUUGCUUCACUGGGUUACUGUUGAAAUCGUUGGAUCAAUCGAUUGAAUCAUGUUACUAUAAAGUAUAUUUGAAAAUAAAAUAUAGAAUUGCUGGAUAUACUACAAAAACAAUAUGCAAGAGUAUUAAUGGAUUUUUAAUUUUUAGUACUACUAAAUCAUUUAAAUCUACAUUCUUCAAUCUUCGCUACUCUUUAGUUACACACACACAAACAAAAAAAAUCUUCUAAUUUUCUUAAAAAAUUAUAAAUAAUAAGUAAUAUUAAGUAUACA